GCCGGGGCUUCUUCUGCGGUUACCGUCAUCAUCUUCACCGCUGAAAGCGUUUUACAACCCUAAGGCCUUCUUCACGCACGCGGCAUGGCUGGAUCAGGGUUUCCCCCAUUGUCCAAUAUUCCCC
rnacentral:rRNA from 1 species